UACGAAGGUCCCGAGCAUUGUUCGGAAUUACUGGGCGUAAAGGGUCUUCAGGCGGUCGGGUAAGUCAGAUGUGAAAUCCCGGGGCUCAACCCCGGAACUGCAUCCGAUACUGCCCGACUGGAGUGUUGGAGGGGGAUUUGGAAUUCUCGGUGUAGCAGUGAAAUGCGUAGAUAUCGAGAGGAACACGAGUGGCGAAGGCGAGAUCCUGGACAACUACUGACGCUGAAAGACGAAGGCCAGGGGAGCGAAAAGG
rnacentral:rRNA from 1 species